rnacentral:lncRNA from 1 species
UUUGGCAGGACGAUAUAAACCAGAUAAGGCUUGAUUAUUUAGACAUCAAGAUGGGAUGUUUCACGGUUUCAAAGAGUAAGAAAAAAAUAUCCGAGCAGAGCAUCCACAUCAAACGUGUGAACCCUCACGAGCAGUCACCUACUGCACUGCCUGAACCCCAGAGAUCAACAAGAUCAUUGCAGUCCGCACCACCAAGUUUUAGAACAAGAGCAAAACCUGUGCAGUCAAACAGAGGAGUAACAACAAGUAGGACACGAACUCUAUCUGCCCCAUCAAGUCUGGAUUCAGCGGAUCAAGAUGCUUUAGCAUCGAAUGAAUGUGAGGAACAUGAAGAGUUGACUAGUCGUGCUGGAUCAAUAAAGGAAUACAGGUCAUCAGUUCCUCAGCCUCUUCCUCUUCCAUCACCACAGAAUGCCGCUGCUCUCAGGACUACAAGAAGCUUCAAAGUGGGGAAUACAAGUAUUCCUCUCAAUGCCUCUGGACCAUUGCCACUGCCUCCUGUGCUGCCUCCUACAUUGCCUUCUACUGGAACGCUGCGGAACUUUGCUUUCGAUGAAAUUUCUGCCGCAUGCCACCAUUUCUCUCCAGAACGCUGUAUGUCAGAAGGUCUCUCUUCUGUCAUCUACAGAGCUUCGUUUGGGGAUGAUGCCUCUGGUACAAAGAAGCUUGAAGCCACUAUAACUCGUCUUCACCCUUCUUCACAGGUAAUGUUCAAUUACAUUGGCAUGUUUUGACUUUAUAUUAUUCCCACUGUAUGUCAUCUGCUGAUUAGUCCCUUUCUUAUCUGUCAUGUCUGAUGAUGCAGUAAUUCUGUAAUGCCAUUCUAUGUCGCUUGGACUCUUUAAAAAUGUCAAAGGGUGCGUGUCGGAUUCGCCAAAACUAGUGUAUUUUCGGAGAAUCCGACACGGGUGCGGCCGCAUCCCCCCCCCCCCCCUCGUUCCAUCCCAACCCCAACUCUAGUCUUCUUUUUCCUACUAAUCUUUUGCCUUUUUACUCAUAAAAGUCUCAUCUUUUUGCCUCUCCGCAUAUAUAUUUCUCCAACUUCUUGUUAGGGUUUCUUUCCUCACCCAAAAAUUGCCCAUUAAUCCAACAUAAUUGAAUGAAAAUUCAUUACAUGGGUUGUUUUUUCUUCCCAAGAAAUCAGUAAAGAUCCAAACUUUGAGCUCAAAAAAGUGUCCAAGGUUGGUUUCUUUUUAGCUUUUCUCGAUUUUACUUUCUUGUUAAUUUUUGUAAUUCAGCUGAAAAUUUUGCAUCUUGGGGUCUUUUUUCCCCUCUAAUAUGUGGAUUAAGGAAAUCUAGUUGUUUGGUAGCUCAAAUUAUAUUGUUCAUUUAUUAGUGUUUCUUGAAAAUUUGCCCUUUGGAUAAUCUUGUUGCAAAUUGACCAAACUUUCAAAUUGUAGCAAACCAAGAAACUUGAUUUAUUUCUGAUUCUUUAUUGCUAAAGAUUGCUCGAUUACUUUUCCAUCUAGCCUAUCUGCUUCGGGAUAUAAAAGUCACUUGGUGUAAUUUGUAAAGUUGUUGUCAUCUGACUAGGAGGUCAUGGGUUCGUGCUGUGACACAGCCUCGUGCAGAAAUGCAUGGAGGGCUGUGUGCACCAGACCCUUGGAGUCUGGCCCUCCCUUGGACUCCGUGCAUAGCGGGAGCUUAGUGCACCAAUCUGCCCUUAAUCUUGUAAUUUAAAUCAUUUGAAGUACUUAGAGUGAAUUAAAUUGAUGGUAGCAUUGCUAUUAAAAAUUUCCUAUGUUUUAGAUAGAUGAGAAAAGUGGAGCUGAAGUAGUUCAAUUCUUUUUUAAACAAUAGUAGGAGAUUAUUCAAUCUCUUAGUUUCUAGCUUGUUUGGUGGAGCAAAGUGGUGAUAUAAUUUCUUGAUCGCAACUUCACUGGUGAUUGGUUUUGCUCUAUGAUCUUAGUAAAAUAAUGAUUUGAUUCCCUGAUAAGCCCAUGUUGCUCAAUAGUUUACAUUGUAAAGUGUUUCAGAAUGGUUGUCAUGUAUUUCUGUGUUACUACUGAUUUGGCAGGACGAUAUAAACCAGAUAAGGCUUGAUUAUUUAGACAUCAAGAUGGGAUGUUUCACGGUUUCAAAGAGUAAGAAAAAAAUAUCCGAGCAGAGCAUCCACAUCAAACGUGUGAACCCUCACGAGCAGUCACCUACUGCACUGCCUGAACCCCAGAGAUCAACAAGAUCAUUGCAGUCCGCACCACCAAGUUUUAGAACAAGAGCAAAACCUGUGCAGUCAAACAGAGGAGUAACAACAAGUAGGACACGAACUCUAUCUGCCCCAUCAAGUCUGGAUUCAGCGGAUCAAGAUGCUUUAGCAUCGAAUGAAUGUGAGGAACAUGAAGAGUUGACUAGUCGUGCUGGAUCAAUAAAGGAAU